rnacentral:lncRNA from 1 species
UGGGACUUCACCUCACACUUGUAACCCAACACAUCUCCCCCUCAAGUGUGAGUCUCUUCCACAUGGUAGUCUCCCCCUCGAGCGGAAGUCUUUAUCAUCCACGAGUAUAGCCAUGGCCACCUGCGGGGCACACUGUGCCGCUAGCCAUUCUGGCCACCUGCGGUACUUGCAUACUCGUCUGAGCCGGUCACCAACUUGAACCAUCGGCUCUGAUACCAAUUGUUGGGGAGAUUCGAGGGGUACACCUGUGGACCACGAGCCACCACAUAAGGA